rnacentral:rRNA from 1 species
ACGGGGGGAGCAAGCGUUGUUCGGAUUUACUGGGCGUAAAGGGCGUCUAGGCGGAAUAAUAAGUCAGCUGUGAAAUCCCUCGGCUCAACCGGGGAGUUGCAUUUGAUACUGUUAUUCUUGAGUACAAGAGAGGAAAGCGGAAUUCCAGGUGUAGCGGUGAAAUGCGUAGAUAUCUGGAAGAACACCAGUGGCGAAGGCGGCUUUCUGGCUUGUUACUGACGCUGAAGCGCGAAAGUGUGGGGAGCAAACAG